UGGGGAAUAUUGGACAAUGGGCGCAAGCCUGAUCCAGCCAUGCCGCGUGAGUGAUGAAGGCCUUAGGGUUGUAAAGCUCUUUCGGCGGGGACGAUAAUGACGGUACCCGCAGAAGAAGCCCCGGCUAACUUCGUGCCAGCAGCCGCGGUAAUACGAAGGGGACUAGCGUUGUUCGGAAUCACUGGGCGUAAAGGGCGCGUAGGCGGCUUUAUAAGUCGGGGGUGAAAGCCUGUGGCUCAACCACAGAAUUGCCUUCGAUACUGUACGGCUCGAGACCGGAAGAGGUAAGUGGAACUGCGAGUGUAGAGGUGAAAUUCGUAGAUAUUCGCAAGAACACCAGUGGCGAAGGCGGCUUACUGGUCCGGAUCUGACGCUGAGGCGCGAAAGCGUGGGGAGCAAACAGG
rnacentral:rRNA from 1 species